GGAAUUUUGGACAAUGGGCGCAAGCCUGAUCCAGCAAUGCCGCGUGCAGGAUGAAGGCCUUCGGGUUGUAAACUGCUUUUGUACGGAACGAAAAGUACUUCUCUAAUACAGAGGUGCGAUGACGGUACCGUAAGAAUAAGCACCGGCUAACUACGUGCCAGCAGCCGCGGUAAUACGUAGGGUGCAAGCGUUAAUCGGAAUUACUGGGCGUAAAGCGUGCGCAGGCGGUUUUGUAAGACAGAGGUGAAAUCCCCGGGCUCAACCUGGGAACUGCCUUUGUGGCUGCAAGGCUAGAGUACGGCAGAGGGGGGUGGAAUUCCGCGUGUAGCAGUGAAAUGCGUAGAUAUGCGGGGGAACACCGAUGGCGAAGGCAACCCCCUGGGCCUGUACUGACGCUCAUGCACGAAAGCGUGGGGAGC
rnacentral:rRNA from 1 species